AAAUUACAGUUGGUCCAGAAUGCGGCAGCCAGAUGGUAUUGCUGUACAACAGAUAGAGACAUAAGAAUUAUUUCAGCACCAAUAAAAAUGAAAUGAACCAUGUUUAGUAAGAGUGUGCUAACCUGUGCAGUUCAGCCCAAAGCAAAUUGCAACAACUUAUUCGACACUCAACAUCAAUAUCCAGUGGAGUGCGCGCCUGUAUGCCCCGCCUCUGGACUGACAGCUCUUUAACCACACCCCUUGCUCUCCACAGUUACAUUUUACAAUUACACAUCCUUGUUCUCCACAAUUACAGCCCUUUGUUCUUCACAGUUACAUACAAAUACUUGUGGAAAGAUUCUUCCUGUAAUAGAACACUGGGUUGCCCCAGCAUUCUAAUCAUAGGAAGAAUGUCUCCAUGAGUACAGCAUUUGUCUCAUCAGACAAAUAUAGUGAUCGUGGAGAUCGUGGGUAUGGAGUUUUAGCACAUGACAUAGUGGGGCAGGGAUUGCUGGCCUGUUCUCUGGGGCUCACUCUGUAUAGCAUCCCCACUUUCAUAAUGCCUGGAUUGGGCUCUAGUUAAGCCCAAUAGUGUGGACUACCAGAUGGAACUCAUCCAUAUAUUGAGCCUCCUAGGACUUGACAAUUCACAUGUUUUUGCUGUCCUAGGCAAGGCAACAACAUGACAUUUAUGAAGCCUCGGGUGAGUUGUUGCACAUGGUUAGUAAACAAUGUUUGGCUUGGUGGACCACAAAUUAUGCAAGGCAUGGACUAGCUGGCUUUUCAGCCAGCUAAUAUGCAGCCACCUCAGUCUUCCCUCAAGAAAUAUCUUCAACCAGAUCCUGGAUUUCCCUCUACACCACCCACCGCCCUGCAUCCUUGCAGGUUCUCCCUUAUCCAGCAUCACUUCUGCCUGCCUGUCUGUGCAGGCAUGGCCUAGCUGCAAAGCUAGCUCACAACCAGUCUGGAGACUGGCUCAGCAGACCUCGCUCAGUCCUCUUAAUUGCUUAGGACUUUGCUUCCCUAGGCAGAUUUAUACUAGAUUCUAUCCCCCACCCCCCAUUGUGUCUAGGCUGAGUCAUGGCUUUUUGCUGCUAUCAAAAAUUGCAGCUCCAUAACCCACUAGUAAGAGUGACUUUAUUUUCAUCUUCAAAGCCAAGCCUCAUGCUUGAACCUCAGCAGGAAAGAGACUUUAAUUCAUACUGGAUGACUGUUUCACUAAAAAGCAAAAUACUGCCCUGAGGCUGUUAAGGUGUGCCCUCCCCUCUUUCUCCUCUUAUGAAGCAUGCAUUUCUUAGUGCUGCUUGUGUGUGUGUGUGUUUUGCACACGGGUGUCAGCUUCUUCUCUUGCUGCUGCUGCUGCUGUUUGUCUUUGGAGCUCAUUAAUUGGUUUCAAGUUCCAGCUUGCCGGAGACCUGAGUGUAAAAAUUUCAGUCACAACAAAACAUUGUAAGUAUGAUUUGGCAAGCAAAUAUUCAUU